rnacentral:rRNA from 1 species
GAUUAAGUUAUUAAGGGCGCACGGUGGAUGCCUUGGCACUAGAAGCCGAUGAAGGACGUUACUAACGACGAUAUGCUUUGGGGAGCUGUAAGUAAGCUUUGAUCCAGAGAUUUCCGAAUGGGGAAACCCAGCAUGAGUUAUGUCAUGUUAUCGAUAUGUGAAUACAUAGCAUAUCAGAAGGCACACCCGGAGAACUGAAACAUCUUAGUACCCGGAGGAAGAGAAAGAAAAUUCGAUUCCCUUAGUAGCGGCGAGCGAAACGGGAAGAGCCCAAACCAACAAGCUUGCUUGUUGGGGUUGUAGGACACUCUAUACGGAGUUACAAAGGACGACAUUAGACGAAUCAUCUGGAAAGAUGAAUCAAAGAAGGUAAUAAUCCUGUAGUCGAAAAUGUUGUCUCUCUUGAGUGGAUCCUGAGUACGACGGAGCACGUGAAAUUCCGUCGGAAUCUGGGAGGACCAUCUCCUAAGGCUAAAUACUCUCUAGUGACCGAUAGUGAACCAGUACCGUGAGGGAAAGGUGAAAAGCACCCCGGAAGGGGAGUGAAAUAGAACCUGAAACCGUGUGCUUACAAGUAGUCAGAGCCCGUUAAUGGGUGAUGGCGUGCCUUUUGUAGAAUGAACCGGCGAGUUACGAUUUGAUG